GAUUAACGCUGGCGACGUGCCUAACACAUGCAAGUCGAGCGGCAGCGAGUUUUACACUGAAUUCUGGAAGCUUCUAGUUGAAAGAGAAGAUUUAUUCAAGAAUUUUGUGUAAAAUGUCGGCGAGCGGCGGACGGCUGAGUAACGCGUGGGAACGUACCCCAAAGUGAGGGAUAACGCAUCGAAAGGUGUGCUAAUACCGCAUAUGGUCUUCGGAUUAAAGCCUUCGGGCGCUUUGGGAACGGCCUGCGUAAGAUUAGAUAGUUGGUGGGGUAAUGGCCUACCAAGUCGACGAUCUUUAACUGGUUUGAGAGGAUGAUCAGUCAGACUGGAACUGAGACACGGUCCAGACUCCUACGGGAGGCAGCAGUGAGGAAUCUUCCACAAUGGGCGAAAGCCUGAUGGAGCAACGCCGCGUGCAGGAUGAAGGCCUUCGGGUUGUAAACUGCUUUUAUAAGUGAGGAUUAUGACAGUAACUUAUGAAUAAGGAUCGGCUAACUACGUG
rnacentral:rRNA from 1 species